rnacentral:rRNA from 1 species
UGGGGGAUAUUGCACAAUGGGCGAAAGCCUGAUGCAGCGACGCCGCGUGGGGGAUGAAGGCCUUCGGGUUGUAAACUUCUUUUGCUCUGAACAAGGCAUGCUAAUGGGUGUGUUGAGUGUAGGGGUUGAUUAGCGCCGGCUAACUACGUGCCAGCAGCUGCGGUAAUACGUAGGGCGCGAGCGUUGUCCGGAAUUAUUGGGCGUAAAGGGCUUGUAGGUGGCUGGUUGCGUCUGUCGUGAAAGCUCAUGGCUUAACUGUGGGUUUGCGGUGGGUACGGGCUGGCUUGAGUGCAGUAGGGGAGGCUGGAAUUCCUGGUGUAGCGGUGGAAUGCGCAGAUAUCAGGAGGAAUACCGGUGGCGAAGGCGGGUCUCUGGGCUGUUACUGACACUGAGGAGCGAAAGCAUGGGGAGCGAACAGG